AUGCUCUGCCUUACUCCCGCUGCCCUGAAGUGAAGUUGAAUUAUAAAAUAGAGCCAGCCUUAUCUUGAGCAGCCAUGCAACAAUGGUUUCUGGAGCGAAAAACUAAAACCAUGUGAUAUUAAGUGUCUGUGCCCUAUGAAGUCCAUGAAGCAGGAAUCCUGUCUCUUCAUCAUUAUACAACUCCACCUAGAGUAAUACCUGCCACAGAGGAGUCUCCACAAUGAACAGCUGAUGUUAAAUGGAAUGUUCUCUGAGACUGAGCUUCUGGAAUUAUUUCAAGCACACCCAAAUGGUUGAAA
rnacentral:lncRNA from 1 species